CACUGUACUACAGGUGGGCUGGGAGGGAGAGAGUAAGCUGGCUACACUGGCUACUAAGGAGGAUGGAGUGUGGGGCCCAUGUUCAGUCUGCUACUGCAGCACAACAUCAUCAAUCAUUGUGGGACUGUUGAGGGACGACAACAUCCUGGUGUUCAGAGUGGAAUAGUGUGUACAUUCGCUGCUGAGUCAGGACAAUGAUGCUGAGGAUGUGGUGGGCAAGAAUUACCUGAAUAUGCAGAAGGACAGCACCACCAUUGAUAUCGAUUUGGCCCAGCAUCAGCACCAGUCCUGCCUGCAGGAGCCCUAGUCCAGGACGACACAUCCACUCCCCUGACCCAUAGCUCAUCAUACUUGAUAUCCGGAAAAAUGGGGCCUUGUGCAUGUGCUUAAAUUGUUGUCACAGAUAAGCCUGUGCAGUUUGCACAGGCUUAUAAUGGACAACACUUUCCUCUUAAAGCAGAGCACCAGCAUUGAUAUCGAGUUGGCCCAGAAACCACACCAGUCACGCCUGCAGGAGCCCCAGUCCAGAACGACCCUUCCCCUGCCUUGACUUUUAACUCCUCCCCCUUGACCUCCUGCCUCAAAAAGUCAGCAUCGUUGAACAACUCUGUUCUGCAGGAAAUUCUGAGCAUGAAUCUGUUCUGAACAAACGCAAUGCCCACGUUACGUUUUCCAAACAUAAGCCUGGGUAGUUUUAUUAAGCUGGAGUUGCGCGUGGGCCUGAAAGGGACGAGUGUUACAGACACGAAAAGUUAUAGCAGUAGUUAUGGUAACGCUAACAGUCAGUUGUUGCUGUUGGACAUCACAACAAAUAUCAUGAAGAAUAAAAAGUUCAAUAACUCAUUCCAAUCUUUAUGAGACAAACAGAAAUUGAACGGGAGAAAAUCAAAGAACAAUAAAAGCGUAAGCUUUCCUAGUGGGAUACUUUUGCUGUUGAUAGUUUGGACAACAGUAGGGUUGCGGACUGCCCCAGAUUGUCCUCUCAGCGGCCAAAAUAUCAUAAUAGAACGGACUUUUGGCAAUGUUACUGACAAAGAAAGGCAAUAAUGACUUGGUUGUCAAUACCCAGAGCAAGAUACAUCCAUGCUGAGAAAGAAAGGCAGUAAUGACUUGGUUGUGAACACCCAGAGCGCGAUACAUCCAUGCUGACACAGUAAGGCAGUAAUGACUUGGUUGUGAACACCCAGAGCACAAUACAUCCGUGCUGACACAGAAAGGCAGUAAUGACUUGGUUGUGAACACCCAGAGCACAAUACAUACAUGCUGACACAGAAAGGAAGUAAUGACUUGGUUGUGAACACCCAGAGCACGAUACAUCCAUGCUGACACAGAAAGGCAGUAUGACUUGGCUGUGAACACAGAACACAAUACACCCAUGCUGACACAGAAAGGCAGUAAUGACUUGGUUGUGAACACCCAGAGCAAGAUAUUUCCAUGCUGACACAGAAAGGCAGUAAUGACUAUGCUGUGAACACCUUGAGCAAGAUAUAUCCUUGCUAACACAGAAAGGCAGUAAUGACUAUGCUGUGAACACCCGGAGCAUAAUGCAUCCAUGCUGACACAGAAAGGCAGUAAUGACUUGGUUGGGAACACCCAGAGCAAGAUAUAUACAUGCUGACACAGAAAGGCAGUAAUGACUAUGCUGUGAACACCCAGAGCAAGAUAUAUACAUGCUGACACAGAAAGGCAGUAAUGAUUAUGCUGUCUAAACCCACAGAAAGAUAUAUCCAUGCUGACACAGAAAAGCAGUAAUGACUAUGCAGUGAACACCCAUAGCAAGAUAUAUCCAUGCUGACACAGAAAGGCAGUAAUGACUUGGUUUUGAACAACCAGAGCAAGAUAUAUCCAUGCUGACACAGAAAGGCAGUAAUGACUUGGCUGUGAACACAGAACCCGAUACACCCAUGCUGACACAGAAAAGGCAGUAAUGACUUGGCAGUAAACACAGAACACAAUACACCCAUGCUGACACAGAAAGGCAGUAAUGACUUUGCUGUGAACACAGAGCACAAUACAUCCAUGCUGACACAAAAAGGCAGUAAUGACUUGGCUGUGAGCACAGAACACCAUACAUCCAUGCUGAUACAAAAAGGCAGUAAUAACAUGGUUGUGAACACAGAGCACAAUACAUCCAUGCUGACACAGAAAGGCAGUUAUGACUUGGUUGUGAACACAGAGCACAAUACAUCCUUGUUGACACAGAAAGGCAGUAAUGACUUGGCUGUGAACACAGAGCACAAUACAUCCAUGCUGACACAGAAAGGCAGUUAUGACUUGGUUGUGAACACAGAGCACAAUACAUCCUUGUUGACACAGAAAGGCAGUUAUGACUUUGCUGUGAACUCAGAGCACGAUACAUCCAUGCUGACACAGAAAGACAGUAAUGACUAUGCUGCGAACACCCAGAGCACAAUACAUCCAUGCUGAAACAGAAAGGCAGUCAUGACUAUGCAGUGAACACCCAGAGCAAGAUACAUCCAUGCUGACACAGAAAGGAAGUAAUGACUAUGCUGUGAACACCCAGAGCAAGAUAUAUCCAUGCUGACACAGAAAGGCAGUAAUGACUAUGCCGUGAACACCCAGAACACAAUACAUCCAUGCUGAAACAGAAAGUCAGUAAUGACUUGGUUGUGAACUCAGAGCACAAUACAUCCAUGCUGACACAGAAAGGCAGCAAUGACUUUGCUGUGAACUCAGAGCACGAUACAUCCAUGCUGACACAGAAAGGCAGUAAUGACUUGGAUGUAAACACCCAGAGCACAAUACAUCCAUGAUUACACAGAAAGGCAGUAAAGACUUGGUUGUAAACACCCAGAGCACAAUACAUCCAUGCUGACACAGAAAGGCAGUAAAGACUUUGUUGUAAACACUAACUUAAAGAUAUCCAUACAUCCAUGGGGUGUGCCACAGACGCAAAUUACGCCCACCAUUUUGAACAAGGUGCUUAAAGUGAACACGUCUGGUUUUGUUAUGAGCACUUAGCACUCCGAGCCUAAAAGGCCUCACAUUGAAUUGAUGCAAGAGAAGGCUUUGAAAAAUAACAGCAGUUUUGUUGUGUGGUCCAAUACGCCCUUCGACUCGCAACCUGAAGAAAGCAGAACUCAAACUCGUCUCUUAGCAAUAUCAGCAAGGCCAUCAUGUCAAUCUCAGCUUCUAGAGCUUCAGUGAACUUAACUAGCAAACAUGACAAACGUCAUUGAAGUGAAAGUCGAUGACAACCCCCUUCUUGCACAAAUACUACAACUCGCUUAAGAAAUUCAGCAUGAAGACGUCUUGCGUCAGACUACCAAGCCUCCUAUCAAUAUCUCCUCCCAUGUUGGCUACAUCAACACUUCCAACAGCAGAGCCUUGGUGAGUUUGACUUCCGUCUUAGCAUCGAUGUCGCUUAGCAACAAUUGGAUGAUGGGCGUCGACAAAUUAUGCCGGACAAGUCGCUCGAACUGAAACUAUCUGAUCCAACAGGUAGAGCAGGCGUUGCGUGACAUGUCCAUUAAUGUGACUACUCGAUAUGUUGUUCUCGAAUAAUGUGAACCUUAGGCCUGGAGAGCAGUAUGCGAUUGACGCCAUUCAACAACAGUUGUCGGCAAUUCUCGGGUUUGGGGUGGCGACUUCGGCGUCGAGACUCGCUCCAUCUCUGUCUAAGGCCCAGUUGCAGCAGCAGCAGCAGCAACAAGAACAAUAAGUAGUAUCUUAGUGGUGUUCUGGGAUAUGGGGCUUCAUGUAUGUGCUUAAAUUGUCAUCCAAGAUUAGCCUGUGCAGACUGCACCUACAUUAAGUCAUAUUAAAUUGUCAUCCCAGAUUAGCCUGUGCAGACUGCACAUACAUUAAGUCCUAUUAAAUUGUCAUCCAAGAUUAGCCUGUGCAGACUGCACAUACAUUAAGUCCUAUUAAAGUGUCAUCCCAGAUUAGCCUGUGCAGACUGCUCAUACAUUAAGCCCUAUUUUCCCAGAAUGAGACUAGCAUACUUCACUUAACAUCAGUAUUUUAUGUGCCUGAAAAGUUCCUAGCAUCAAAUGGGAAUUAUGUGUUUUUAAAUUGAUCACACAUAGUAAAUAAAAUGCAAAUAGCACUUGAUCUAAUAUCAAUUUUAAUUGUUUCUGCCUGAUUGAGAAAAAGGUCAAAGCAUCAAAUGCCGGUUCCUACAGGAUCCCAUGCAAUAGAUUGGUACCCAGCUGAACAACAGGCUUUCUGGUAAGCUGGGCCCGGAUAGGUGCAGCCAGUCUAAAGCUGGGGCUCCAAACUGUCCUGCCAAGUGGGCUGAUAUUACCUCUUCUACAAGGGACAUAUGUCAGUGAUGCGCAAAGAGCUGGUUUUCUGUUCACAGAGAAAUAUCCUAACAACUCCAACUCAGCCACUACAUCUCAACAGACAACCCGAAUAUCAAGGCGUUAAGUUUCUUCUGGAUGCAGUUACAGUCACAGCUUUCAAGCCAGCAGCUGUCGAUGUAUUGAGAUUUUCUCCUCUCCAUGUUACCUGACCUGCUGCCUGUGAACAUCCUGCACAUAGAACCUUUGUGAGUUUGUGAGACAUCCCAUUCGAUGUAAUUAAACCGGCCAAUCAAAAAGACAGCCUGAAAUAUUCCUCAUCUUGAAAUAUUGGGAAGGCAGGAAAACGCCUGUCACUGUUAAGAUAAAAAUGAGGGAAUGACAAAGCACAGUAUGACCAGUUAAGUCCUGUGAUAUGCCAAGUCCUGUGGCCAGACACGUCUUGUGGCCAGCCAAGUCCUGUGAUCAGCCAAGUCCUGUGGCCAGACACGUCUUGU